AUUAGCAGGGCCAAAUAUUGAUUUUGCUCCAGAGCCCUAAGUGGCCCUCUCAAGGCUUGAACUUGCAACCCUGGGCUUAACAGGCCAAUGCUUAAACCACUGAGCUAUCCUUAGGCUGUUGGACUGAAUGGGGUUUUAACCACACACACCCAGACAAAAUGGCUUCACUACCCCAGAUCACAAAAGGGAAUGCUAUGGGAGGGGUGAUUAAAUUAACCUGUUAGCAACUAUGUUUGAAACAAUGGGCUAAGAGGGUAUAAAAACCUUAGGUAUGCUGCAGUUUGUCCUUUUAACAGAAAACUUUCUUGGAUAGCUGCUAGACUGCAAAAAGAGGUAAGACUUGCUGUCUUUAACUCUGAAACUAUAUAUUAUAUAAGGCCACUCUUUGCCCAUGCUGUCUUAGUAAAUAAUGGUGCCUAUGUUUAUUGCAGUGUGAUCUGUUUAGCAUGGAACCAGUAACUUUAAACUGCAUUUCACCACCAGGCCAAGGCCCAAGCACACAUGAGGGGGAACAAAACAAGCAUGUGCCUGCAACACUUUAUCCCAUAGUGAAAGUACAGUGAAAACAUGAGAGAUCCUUAGACCAGAGGGAAAACAAGCUGAAAAGAAAAAGGAAAGAAACCGCUGAAAAGGAAAAUUCACCAGCAUCAGUGACUGAUGGAUGGAUGAAGCCCUGCCUGGGCAACUCUUCUG